AUUUUAAAAUGCACUUUCUACUAGUGUCUAUAUGGAAAAAAGUAGAUGCUAAAUACCUCAAGAGCCCAAGGUAACAGGCAACAUUGGGAAGUUGUCACAACAUGCUUAAAGAUGACUAUAUACAAUUAUUUGCUAAUCUAUUUCUUCAGAACUGGAACUAAUACAACUGUCUUUUUCUGUCUUUACUUUGAUUAGAAAGUUCUUUUUCUGCUCUUACAUAAAACAUCUUUCAACUUUUUGAUUGAUUCAGUAACUUCACAGAAGUAUAACAGUAAGUGAAAUCCCAAGAAAAAAAUGAAAUUUUUAAUGCUUUUGAUCUCUUGGGAAGCUGGUACACAGACAAAGAAAUUUAAUCUUUUUAUAGUACAAAAAAAAUUCUGAAUUUAGUCCAAAUC
rnacentral:lncRNA from 1 species